UUGCUCAUAGAAAUUGAUAAUAUACUAUUUUAUAUUCACUCGUUCAAGUGCUGAUCUAUUUUUAAAUUGAAUAUUUAUGUAAGUAUUAUGUAUAACACGAUAUAAAUAAUUUAAGGACAUAAGAAAUUAAAAUUUCAAGUGCCAAUAUUGAUUAUUUUUCCAGUUUUAUUCAAAUAUAUUGAAAUUAAUAUGGAAACAAAAGUUCAUAAAUAUUAUUCUUAAUAACAAGAAUUGAGAUUUGGGGAUAAGUUUGAAAAGCCAUGUCAGAAGAGUAGGAUUAAAGACAAAGUAUUAAGAGUAAUUGGGCUGUUCCUGAACAAUAUUGAAUAUAAAUAUUCAAAAAUAUGAUAAACUGCAUAUCCUACUAAGUAGAUCAAUACCAAAAUUCCAUUAGAGAAAUAAGUUAAAAUUAUGUUUUACUUGUAUAAUUUUCUUGCUAUUUGUCCACCAUUAUUUGUGACUUAGAAAUUAAAUAGUCAAAAAGAA